GAGCGGCGAACGGGUGAGUAACACGUGAGGAACCUGCCCUGGACUUUGGGAUAACCCUCGGAAACGGGGGCUAAUACCGAAUACGACUGCUGGCCGCAUGGUUGGUGGUGGAAAGUUUUUCGGUCUGGGAUGGUCUCGCGGCCUAUCAGCUUGUUGGUGGGGUAAUGGCCUACCAAGGCGACGACGGGUAGCCGGCCUGAGAGGGCGACCGGCCACACUGGGACUGAGACACGGCCCAGACUCCUACGGGAGGCAGCAGUGGGGAAUAUUGCACAAUGGGCGGAAGCCUGAUGCAGCGACGCCGCGUGAGGGAUGACGGCCUUCGGGUUGUAAACCUCUUUCAGCAGGGACGAAGCGCAAGUGACGGUACCUGCAGAAGAAGCGCCGGCCAACUACGUGCCAGCAGCCGCGGUAAGACGUAGGGCGCGAGCGUUGUCCGGAUUUAUUGGGCGUAAAGAGCUCGUAGGCGGCUUGUCGCGUCGACUGUGAAAACCCGCGGCUCAACCGCGGNCCUGCAGCCGAUACGGGCAGGCUAGAGUUCGGUAGGGGAGACUGGAAUUNCU
rnacentral:rRNA from 1 species